UUAAUGGUAACAUCCGCAACACGCAUAUUCUGAAUUGCUCCUUUUAGAAUUUUAGCAAUUUUCUCAUUAUCAUAAAAAAAAACAAUCAUUGUUUAUCAAACUCUAAUAUACAGCUUCAAGAAAUUAUGCUCUUAUUUAAAAAAAUACAUGCGUGUCAUUAUUUUAAACAAAAAGUUUCAAAAUCACAUGAUUAAAGUUGACAGUUUAUGUUUUUUCGUGCUUGACAAAAUUUAGAGUGUACCCAUGAAAAAAGAGGUGUGUGUGUGUAGAGUGCAACCAACAAAAAUCAAACCGUCAGUCUCCAUCAUCGUGGUCGGUCGCCAUUUGCUGCAGAAUUUUUUUUCGUCGUUAAAAUGGGCCGAACGAAGAAAGGUAACUUAGCAAAUUAGUUUUAGAUUCAAUGUUACACAUCUAAUAAACAAUAUUUAUUAUUUAUCUUUCCAGAAAACACAAAAAAAGUGAAGACUACGGCCAAAAGUGCUCAACAAACGCGUUCCCGAAAGGCGGGGGCGGAGCCCCAAGAACGUCAGAAAAAACAGCAAAGUGCGGCCAAAACGGUGAACGAUUCUGCGCUUAAACUGAAGCUGGACGAAAAGCUUCAGAAAUCCGGAAUAAGCCUGAGCCAGAAUGGUUUGGAAAUGGUGUCCAUACCAAGUGGCGCGUUUAUCGAAAACUGCCCGGGACCGUCGACCCCCAAGGACCCUCUGAAUUUGAGUGUGACGGCCGUGCCGGAAGCUGCCACCAAGAACGGUAGCUUGUCUCUAAUGACCAGUGACGAAGAAGACGACAGUCAGGAGGGGGACGGCGAUUACGAUGACGGAUCGACAUCAAAAGAGAGUUUGACACUUUUAUAAUAAACAUUGAUCUUUUUCCAGGAGACCUUGGAUAAGUUCUCGAAGUUACACGUUCCCACCGAAGUCGCCAAACAAUCUGCGGCCAUGGAAGAAGAUCCGUUCCCGAUGCCCAUCAAAGCUGAGAAAACCCCACCUCGAGCUACACCAUAACCGGAGAACGACGCGCUGACCUACGUUAACAUGUGGAAGAACAAGUUCCUUCAUCAGCUUGAGCAGACCAAGGAGCUUUCUAACAGUCUGCUCAAAGAAAAAGCGAAAUCAUCCAGGCUGAAUCAGCUGGUUAUCACGCAGAUGGCGAUGAUCCGGGAAUUGCGCCUCGGAAAGGAAAC